UUGCAUACCAGUAGACCUUGUCUGGUUCUUCCCGUAGCCAGGCAAGGGGGACGGUGCAUGCAAGAAAAACCUGGGGUUGCUGCAGGCUGAGAUCAGCCUCCAUGUGACUGGUUGAACUGCCGUGCUCUGACAUAC
rnacentral:snoRNA from 1 species